UACGGGGGGUGCAAGCGUUGUUCGGAAUUACUGGGCGUAAAGGGCUCGUAGGUGGCCACCUAAGUCAGACGUGAAAUCCCUCGGCCUAACCGAGGAACUGCGUCCGAUACUGCGGUGCUUGAGGAUCAGAGGGGUGCAUGGAAUUUCCGGUGGAGCGGUGAAAUGCGUUGAUAUCGGAAGGAACACCGGCGGCGAAAGCGAUGCACUGGGUGAAUUCUGACGCUGAGGUGCGAAAGCGAGGGGAGCAAACGGG
rnacentral:rRNA from 1 species